UUUAUUUGUUACCAUGUGCAGCAUGAUCAAAAGCAUUUAUUGAUGGCUCAUCUUUUUGACAAACCCUGUUUCCUAGGAAUCCUUGCAUUAAAGAUGGAUGAUAUAGCUCGGUUUCAUACCAAUACUCAUAUUCCACAUGUUAUUGGAGCUCAAAUGCGGUACGAAGUUACUGGUGAUCCACUUUAGAGGGUAAAUUGCUAUAAUUCAUUUCAAUAUCUGUCCUCAAAGCAUAAUAACUCAAUGAAGCAUUUUCUUGAUUUCAGUUUUUAGUGUCAAGUAUUAUUACGGUCUUUUUUUUUUUUUUUUUUUUUUUUUUUUUUUGAUAUUGAGAAUAGGAACUUUCUGGUUUACUACUUUGUCGAAAAAUCUUGAGGGCAAGCAACUUUUUUUUUUCCUCCACUUUUUCUUCUUCAGCCUCUCUCUCUCUCUUUUUCUUUUUUCUUUUUUUCUUUUUUUAUUUUUUAUUUUUUUUACAAGUAGGGAAAAACUAUUGAAGAUAAAUGACUGGAGCACAGCUACUCGUCCCUCAACAAAGUAAUGGUCCUAAUAAUCAUGGAGGUAAAAUGACCUCGAAAGAAGUCAAGAGGGAGAGCCGCAUAUGAAUUCAGUCCUUAUUCGGCUUUUGAAUGGAUUGAGUUUUGUUAUGAAUCCAGUCCUUCAAUUCAAAUUUGGUUAAAAAGUGUAUUCUCUUUAUCAUGGUGAUGAACCAAAAUCAGUCCAUUUGUUAACCAACGGGUCAACCUUGGUUUUUUAGUGAUCUGAUCCAAUUAUAAUAAAUCAGAAUUAAUUAGUAUACAAAUUUUUUAGAUUAAAGUAUUUAUGCAUAGCAUAUAUAUAAUGCUUAAAAGAUAUAUAAAUAUAUUUCAUUUUAUUAAGAAUCUAAUAUGAAAAAUUAUUUAUUUGAUUUGUGCUUAAUUCUAUUUACACAAUUUGAGGGCAAGCCUUGGCGCAACAGUAAGAUUGUUCCACUGAGAAAACAAGGAAACAACUUCUACGUAUGCGCAGUUAAGGUUGCAUACAUCUUAUCUGACUCUCCUCACUGUGACAUGAAGGUCACAAAUUGCGGACAUCUCGUGCACUGGAUUUGCCCUUUAAUCUCUAUUAUCAAAUUCGCAUAAAACCAAUAGGCUUCAGGGUUAAACCUGUUGCAACACAUUUAAAUUGCCUCACUUGGGCCUUUCAAGAGAUACACAAUUUCGUCUUUGACAGCAUCAUCUGUUCAUUGUGGUUUGUGGAGUAGAAAACUGCAGUUCCUAAAUAUUCCUCCAUUUCUAAUUGAGAUGCUUUUCAGAGGGAGCAACCAUGGAAAUUAAUUUUAAUUUUGCCCCUUUAGGACAUGGCUACUUUCUUCAUGGAGAUUCUUGACUCUUCUCACACCUAUGCAACUGGAGGGACAUCAGUUGACGAGUUCUGGGCGGACCCAAUGCGACUGGGAGACACUCUGGGACGAGAAAAUGAAGAAUCAUGUGCAACUCAUAACAUGCUGAAGCAUCAAAUGGCAUAUGAUUUUGUAAGUGUCACGCAACCUGUUUAGAUGGACCAAAGAAAUCGCAUAUGCAGAUUAUUAUGAGCGAGCCCUAACCAAUGGUGUGCUGGUUGUCCUGCGGGCAGGGCUUCCUGGACAAUUUAUCUACAGGCUACCCCUAUGCAGUGGAUGUUCCAAGACUGUUAGUCACUAUGGAUGGGGAACAAAGUUCGAUUCUUUUUGGUGCUGCUAUGGGACAGGUAUGGGCUUGAAACUUCAUAAAUUAAGAAAGGCAAAUCCAGUGUACGAGACUCCUGUCAUUGCGAGGUCUUGGGGAGGUUAGAAGUACGCAGCAUUACCACAUGUGAAGAGACUGUUUCCUUGAAACCUCAUAAAUAUAAACCAUAUUUUAUUCUAAAGUAAAAUCUUUUUGCUUCUAAAUAAGCGACUUAAAAAUCUUCAAACAAUUUUUUUAAUUGCAUCUUACAACCUUAGAUUCCUAGAUCUUAUGAUUUUCAUUCUUAAUCCCUUAUGACGGGGAGAAUUUGGUUGUUUACUUGUGGUUUUGUGUCACGAUUUAGUUAAUGUGCUCAUUUUAAAUAAACCAAAAAUAGAUGCAAACUGUCAAUGUGUAUUAUAGCAUAGUGGGAUACAAGGAAAAGUACUGUAUGAAAAAGUAUGAAAUCUAAACCAUCUGAUCUCUUGUGGCUAAAAACAAGAGUAAAGAUAAAGCUGGAUACAAGAAGCUGACAACAUCGAAAAGAAAUGAAUUAUUUUUGGAGAAAGAAUUAAUAUUCAAAAAUUAUUAGCGAAGAGGAAAUAUAAGUAGGGACUGGAAAUUUUUCAGUAGGUUAAUAAAAUAUGUUUUGGUUGUUAGAUACUGGAACCUUAAAUUCUUUCUAACCCAAGUGAUCAUAAGGUUCAAGUUUCUUCUCUAUGUCUUCUGCAACCAAACAGAGCGUUAUGUAUAAGACCUAUUAAAUUAAUUUUAUUUAUCUUUGUUCAAGUGCUUGUCAGUUUCAGGUUCCAACAAAAUUUUACAAAUUCUUUUCCCAUGCUUAAUUUUUGG